rnacentral:rRNA from 1 species
UACGAAGGGGGCGAGCGUUAUUCGGAAUCACUGGGCGUAAAGCGUGCGUAGGCUGUUCGGCAAGUUGGAAGUGAAAGCCCAGGGCUCAACCCUGGAAUUGCUUUCAAAACUGCCGGACUCGAAUCUCGGAGAGGAUAGCGGAAUUUCCAGUGUAGUAGUGAAAUACGUAGAUAUUGGAAGGAACACCAGUGGCGCAAGCGGCUAUCUGGACGAGUAUUGACGCUGAGGCACGAAAGCGUGGGGAUCAAACAGG